UCCGAGUUGACCCCGGCAGUCUCCUAUGAGUCCCCGGCUUGAACCGCUGGCAACAUAGGACAAGGGUUGCGCUCGUUGCGGGACUUAACCCAACAUCUCACGACACGAGCUGACGACAACCAUGCACCACCUGUAUACCGCCCUUGCGGACCCCAUAUCUUUAUGAGUUUUCGGUAUAUGUCAAGCCUUGGUAAGGUUCUUCGCGUUGCGUCGAAUUAAGCCACAUGCUCCGCCGCUUGUGCGGGCCCCCGUCAAUUCCUUUGAGUUUUAGCCUUGCGGCCGUACUCCCCAGGCGGGGCACUUAACGCGUUAGCUGCGGCACCGAAGGGGUCGUUCCCCCCGGCACCUAGUGCCAUCGUUUACGGCGUGGACUAC
rnacentral:misc_RNA from 1 species